CACAUUGAAACACUGGUUUCUGUAUGAUCACCCACCAAAGUUAAGCAAUGUUGAGCCUGGUCAGUACCUAGAUGGGAGACCACUUGGGAAUAUGAGGUGC